rnacentral:misc_RNA from 1 species
UACCAUCUUCAACCUUGGGCUUGGACUUCUGUACCGCUCCCUUCUUCGGUGGAGCACUGGUCUUAGACUUGAAGAGAGCAAGAGUUGGCCUGUAAGAAGAUAUUUGUUGAUGAGUGCUCGGUGACGGGAGAAGAAGAUGGGUGAAUGAGGCCGGUCGAAGACGCGAGAUUUGAUACUGGAGCAGAGAGUCGACUCUCUUACAGUCGAGAAUGCGGCUUCCUCCUAGACUGAGCAUGGAUUGAGCCAUGGCUGAGAGUAGGACUGUCG